rnacentral:lncRNA from 1 species
GAUGAAGCACGGAAUCUGCUACCAGUGGGCUCGCGGGGUGGCGAGAUGAGCCGGAGGCUGUGGAGUCCACGACGCGCGCUCUACGUCAAACACCUGCAGAAGAGGAGGGGAAUCGGCGACUCACGUGGGAGUAGGCGAUUCGGGCUCCUUGGAUGCUCUAGUGUGGAGUGUGAGUCAAGAGAGUGAGUUGAGGGUAGAGGUCCCCCAAGGACCCCUUUUAUAGGGUCUUGGGGGGCGUUUCCCCAUUCAUUCGAGUGGGGCCCAUGCCAUUAAGGUACCCCAAUAAGGAAUGCCUUAAUGGCGAAGGUCCGCUCAAGUAACGGCUGGGAGUCGGCGAUUCAGGUAUGAGAAUCGCCGAUCCAGAGGUUCAGUCGCCGACUCCCCAUGAGCCUAGUGGCAGCCUACCAGAGCUGUCC